AUUGAACGCUGGCGGCAUGCCUUACACAUGCAAGUCGAACGGCAGCAUGAUCUAGCUUGCUAGAUUGAUGGCGAGUGGCGAACGGGUGAGUAAUACAUCGGAACGUGCCCUGUAGUGGGGGAUAACUAGUCGAAAGAUUAGCUAAUACCGCAUACGACCUGAGGGUGAAAGUGGGGGACCGCAAGGCCUCAUGCUAUAGGAGCGGCCGAUGUCUGAUUAGCUAGUUGGUGGGGUAAAGGCCCACCAAGGCGACGAUCAGUAGCUGGUCUGAGAGGACGAUCAGCCACACUGGGACUGAGACACGGCCCAGACUCCUACGGGAGGCAGCAGUGGGGAAUUUUGGACAAUGGGCGAAAGCCUGAUCCAGCAAUGCCGCGUGUGUGAAGAAGGCCUUCGGGUUGUAAAGCACUUUUGUCCGGAAAGAAAUGGCUCUGGUUAAUACCUGGGGUCGAUGACGGUACCGGAAGAAUAAGGACCGGCUAACUACGUGCCAGCAGCCGCGGUAAUACGUAGGGUCCAAGCGUUAAUCGGAAUUACUGGGCGUAAAGCGUGCGCAGGCGGUUGUGCAAGACCGAUGUGAAAUCCCCGAGCUUAACUUGGGAAUUGCAUUGGUGACUGCACGGCUAGAGUGUGUCAGAGGGGGGUAGAAUUCCACGUGUAGCAGUGAAAUGCGUAGAGAUGUGGAGGAAUACCGAUGGCGAAGGCAGCCCCCUGGGAUAACACUGACGCUCAUGCACGAAAGCGUGAGGAGCAAACAGGAUUAGAUACCCUGGUAGUCCACGCCCUAAACGAUGUCAACUAGUUGUUGGGGAUUCAUUUCCUUAGUAACGUAGCUAACGCGUGAAGUUGACCGCCUGGGGAGUACAGUCGCAAGAUUAAAACUCAAAGGAAUUGACGGGGACCCGCACAAGCGGUGGAUGAUGUGGAUUAAUUCGAUGCAACGCGAAAAACCUUACCUACCCUUGACAUGCCACUAACGAAGCAGAGAUGCAUUAGGUGCUCGAAAGAGAAAGUGGACACAGGUGCUGCAUGGCUGUCGUCAGCUCGUGUCGUGAGAUGUUGGGUUAAGUCCCGCAACGAGCGCAACCCUUGUCUCUAGUUGCUACGAAAGGGCACUCUAGAGAGACUGCCGGUGACAAACCGGAGGAAGGUGGGGAUGACGUCAAGUCCUCAUGGCCCUUAUGGGUAGGGCUUCACACGUCAUACAAUGGUGCAUACAGAGGGUUGCCAAGCCGCGAGGUGGAGCUAAUCCCAGAAAAUGCAUCGUAGUCCGGAUCGUAGUCUGCAACUCGACUACGUGAAGCUGGAAUCGCUAGUAAUCGCGGAUCAGCAUGCCGCGGUGAAUACGUUCCCGGGUCU
rnacentral:rRNA from 1 species